GGCUCCGCGCGCCUGCCAGGCCGGGGCCGGCGGCGGAACAGCUUGGGACCCGAAACGCCUCGGCUUUUCUGCGGACCCGCGCCCGGCCGCUGCCGCCGGACGCUUGAAAAGGUUUGCCUGGCCCAGGGACCGGGGUUAGGACUAGCAGAAAGUGGCUUCUUUUCGUUUCUGAUUCCCCUAACGACAAAGUUGGACCUUGGUCUAUCUGGUCCCAGUUCCAAGCAGGUAGCAUAGUGGUAAUAUCCAAGACAGCCAAUGUCCCAGCCUUUAUUAUUUUAGAAGCAGCUACAUGUAGGAUACCAUGGAGUGCUGCAGCCUUUCUGGGAUUGCGGGGAGGGGUCACUAAACACACCGUGAGGAAAACCCCCAGGAAAAGUGAGCUGUGCUUGCUUGCCCCUGUCACCGACACUCGGACCCUUGGAGUUGGCCUGCCAGGGUGCAAAGGAGGGCAGGCCAGGAGGGCCGCGAGGGAGGUGUGUGCAGUGGGCAGAGCGUGAAAGCUCCGGGAGGAAAACACGCGGAACAGCUGCCCACCAUCCCGCGUGGGAGGCAGGCAGAGCGCAGAACUAAAGCAGUGAUUGACCUCCCUCUUCGAAGAGGGUUGGAUUAUCAAAGACGGGCGGGGACUGCGCAGGCUGUCAAGCAACCCUGUAAAGAAGGGGUGGAGAGUGGACUAGAUCUAUUACCGCACCUGAAAUAUAAACACGUGACGAUCCGGAAGCUCUUUAGCUGUGACCUUACCUACCCAAAAACCCCACCCUGCUUAAGACCCAGAUUGCGCGUCUUACAUCUGAGCUAUGUGGACUCCAGCUCCGAUUGUUAAUACUUGCCCAAGAAAGCUUGAGGGUAAUGGAAGGUUAUUUUUCUGUUCUCAUUGAACUUCCCAAUAGACAUUUGCAGGAGCUUUAAUCAAUUAGGUGAUGGCCACUUUGGCAAUACCACGUUGGAGUUUUGCUUCAGAAAUGCUUUCCUAAUCCCCUUAGGCACCACACCUUCUAACCACUAAUAUUCCCUAAUACCUCGUGGCUCCUGAGAAACUAGGUCUCAUCAAACCUGUUAAGGAUAAGUAUAAUAAAUUAAUAGUAGAGCAAACUACUUAGAGUUAACUGCUUCAUACUUUUUCAAAAAAUCUUUUGAAUCCUUUUGCUCAUAGGAAAAUUGCAUAUGUACUAAAUUCUCAAAUUGUUUACUUUGAGUAUCUGUUGACUAAAUUGAUGUUUGAAAAUGGUUAUCUCUUCACCUAUAUAAGUAGCCUUUCAGUUGUGUAAUUUUUAAUUAUUAAAUUUUAAAGCAUCAGUAAUAUGAAAGUAUCACUUAAAUUAUUGCCUUAGGAGUGCAUAUCAUUGAAUAUCUUCUCGAUGGAUCUACCUUCAGGCUCUGGUAUCUUGAGAAACUCCUGACUAUAAAUGUUAUUCCAUAGCCAAAGGUCUUGCUUUUGCUUGUUUAAGGUACUUGCCCAGGACCCAGAUUACAGGCCUUCCUUCAGUUUGUCCACAUUUGGAGAAUUGUUUGGCAUGUUUAGGCCAAGCGCAAGAAUAAUUAGCCAAGGAUUCAGAUAAGCAGACCUGACAAAUUAUCCCAAAUGGAAGCCAGGUCUGCUCUUUUCCUCUGCCUUUUUUUUUUUUUUUUUUUUGAGAAGGAGUUUCGCUCUAGUUGUCCAGGCUUGAGUGCAAGGGUGCAAUCUCAGCUCACUGAAACCUCUGCCUCCCGGGUUCUUAGCGAUUCUCCUGCCUCAGCCUCCCAAGUAGCUGGGAUCACAGGCAUGCAACACCACACCCAGCUAAUUUUUGUAUUUUUAGUAGAGAUGGGAUUUCUCCUUGUUGGUCAGGCUGCUCUUGAACUCCCGACCUCAGAUGAUCCGCCUGCCUCGGCCUCCUGAAGUGGUGGGAUUACAGGCAUGAGCCACUGCACCCGGCCUCUGCCUUUUUAGUGCCAGAAAGCCAAAUUCUCAGGACUGAAAGCUGCACAAGAAAGUUCUAAUGACUUCAGUGUUUUGUUUGCUGAGAUUAUCGUCUGUCCAAAUAACUUUGCAUUUGCAUCACUAAUAGACUGCUUUCAAAAGGAAAAGACAUUUCAGUAGGGCUAGAACAGUCUUUAAAGUUUUGUCUGUUCCAUUUUGGCAGGGCCAAGCUAGUCCUUUUGAGAAGAGAUGAAUUUCCAUGUAAGGGCCUGAUUUGCCAUGUGGGUUACAACAUAAGUAAAACAACUGCUCACAAAGAAAAUAUUUUGUUUUUUGUAAUAUAUGCAUGUGGCCAAUUCCAGUGCCUUUUCCCCCUGUUCUAACAAUCCUCAGUUUUGCUAGAAGUAACACUAAUGAUCACACUUUCCUAGAAUCAGAGAAAGAGCUUCCCUCUUCUAUGAUUAGAAGCAUUCUUAGAAGUCAUCUAAUCUUUUUAACUCAGGAACUGCUUCUACAGCAUCUCUGCUGGAUUUGCUGCUGCUUGAAUACUUUCAAUAAAAGGUGACUCAUUGCUUCCCAAAACAACCCACCUCGUUGUGAUACAGUGCUAGUAAAUGAUCAUAAUAACUAGGAGAAAAGUAGUAAUUUCUAACAUUGCUAAGUGCUUACAAGAUACCAGGAAUGGAGCCAAGUAUUUUUCAUGUGUUAUUUCAUUUAAUUCGCACAACAACCUAAUGACAUAGGUAAUAUUAUCUCCAUUUUAUGAGGCACAGACAGAUUAAACUGCUCAAGGUAACACAGAAGGCUGAAAUUUGAACAAAGGCAGUAUGACACCAAGGCUAGAUUCUUAGCCACUAGUCUAUACUCUGCUUAUAUACAAUAUACUGUAAAAAAUUUCUCUUAUGGUAAGCCAACCUCUACCUCCCUGUAAUGUAUUUAGAGGCAAUGAUUAUUAGAUUCUGGUGGUAUUGAAUACAGAAAAGAAAAGCCACAAUGCCUUCCCUCAAGGAGUUGACAGUCUCAUAAAUAGUGUGAGAAGCACAGAGAAGGGACAUUAAUGCAGACGGGAGGAAGAUUUAGGAAUGACCCCUUGGCUGGGCGCAGUGGCUCAUGCCUGUAAUCCCAACACUUUGGGAGGCCGAGGCGGGUGGAUCACCUGAGGUCAGGAGUUCAAGACCAGCCUGGCCAACAUGGUGAAACCCCAUCUCUACUAAAAAUACAAAAAUUAGCUGGGCGCGGUGGCACGUCCCCUGUAAUCACAGCUACUCGGGAGGCUGAGGCAGGAGAAUCACUUGAGCCGGGAGGUGGAGGUUGCAGUGAGCUGAGACUGCACCAUUGCACUCCAGCCUGGGCAACAGAGGAAGCGUCCGUCUCAAAAAAAAAAAAAAAAAAAAAAAAAGGAAUAACCCUAAAGCUGAACCUUGAAAAAUGCAUAGGCAGACAAGGGAAAGUGGUGCAUGACAGGCUGGCUGCUUAGCGCCUUGAAGCACCUACCCGUUUAAGCAUCACACAGCAAGGAACACAAGAAGGCCAAGAUAGGCAGCAGUCCCCACCUGCCAGCAUGUCCAGGCCAUCCUUCUAUUGCCCCAUCCCCCAUGGGUUUCUGGCUUAGGAACCCCUUGAUCCCCUGCACAGGCUCCCAAUUUCAUCCUCGACCUCUUGUCUGACAACUCACUGGAGCCCCUUCUUUGGCCUAUUAACCUCAGCCCUCCUCAUAUAACAUAACCACCACUCACAUUUUCAGUACAUUAGCUGCUCUGGAAACAGGAUACUGAGCAAGCCUUAGCUCAAAAAAAUGCCAGAAGCAGGUCAUCCACCAGGGGAGGAAAAUCACACAGAGAGCAUGUAUGUGAAAUAAUAUGGCACAUACAACAGACAAUUGUGCUUAAAUUCUGAAGACAGAGGGAGAUGGUGGCAAUGGAGCUAAAAAAAUCAGGUUUCUUUUUUUAAUUAAAAAAUUUUUAUUUAUGGCCAGGCGCUGUGGCUCACACCUCUAAUCCCAGCACUUUGGGAGGCCGAGGCGGGUGGAUCACCUGGGGUCAGGAGUUUGAGACCAGCCUGACCAACAUGGUGAAACCCUGUCUCCACUAAAAAAAAUACAAAACUUAGCCGGGAGUGGUACCACGUGCCUGUAAUCCUAGCUAUUCCGGAGGCUGAGGCAUGAGAAUCGCUUGAACCUGGGAGGAGGAGGUUGCAGUAAGCUGAGAUUGCACCACUGCACUCCAGCCUGAGUGACAGAGUGAGAUUCUAUCAUUAAAAAAAAAUUAUUUAUGUAUUUCAUUUCUCCCCAGCUUUAAAUUGAGGCAUAAUGGGCAAAUAAAAAUUGAAUGUCUUUACAGUGUACAAUGUGAUGUUUUGAUAUAUGUAUAUGUUUUGAAAUGAUUACUACAGACCAGCUAGAAAAAUUUACUUACAAAAUUCAAACAUGCUUAAGAAAAAUUUAUACUUUUUUUAAAAAGUCAGAAACUGGCUUGUGAGGAGCUGGUUUUCAGGUGGGUUAUCAUAUGUUUAAGCUGCAGAGACUUCCAAAAGGUUAUACAGCCUUACCUAGUACAGCUCUGAACCAGGCUACCUAGGUUUAAAUCUUAUCUCUGUUCCCUGACUGAAAAACCUUGGGAAGUUAUUUAAAACUAUAGCUGUUUUGAUUAAUCAAAAAGAAAAUACAGGGAAAGGAGUGCCUGGCACUAUAGUAACCCCACAAAAUAUUAAUUAUUAUUAUUUUGAGUGUUCUUUUUUCUUUUUCUUUCUUUUUUUUUUUUUUUUGUUUGAGACAGAGUUUUGCUCUUGUUGCCCAGCCUGGAGUGCAAUGGCACAAUCUUAGCUCACCGCAACCUCCGCCUCCUGGGUUCAAGCGAUUCUCCUGCCUCAGCCUCCUGAGUAGCUGGGAUUACAGGCAUGCGCCACCAUGCCUGGCUAAUUUUGUAUUUUUAGUAGAGAUGGGGUUUGUCCAUGUUGGUCAGGCUGGUCUCAAACUCCUAACCUCAAGUGAUCCGCCCACCUCUGCCUCCCAAAGUGCUGGGAUGACGCAUGAGCCGCCGCACCCGGCCUAUUUUGGUUGUUGUAAAGACAUUCUAAAGAUGCCAGUCUUAUAAUGUCAGUUCUAAAGAUGACAGUCAUGGAGAUGGAGAUGAAGAUAUGACUUAGGAAGCAAUUACGAUAACAUAUAUAAGAGACCCUGAAUUAGGGUCUGGAGUGCUGAGAAUGGAGAAGAGAGAAAUAACACAGGAGAUAAUUGGGAGAUGGAAUGCAUAGGCUUGGGGAAGUGAGGAAGCAGGUGGAGACAUUAGUGACUUGCAGGCUUAUGGUAUAGGCAAUUGGGAGGGUCAUGAUAGCAUUUGCCAUGAUAAAGGGAACUGGUAUAAUUUGGUAGAGAGUCAAAGUAGAUGAUCUGUUUUGUAGCUAAGUUUGAAGUGCUCAACUGGAAAUAUAAAAUUAGUGAUAAAAAUGUGGAUCUGAAAUUUAGAAACAAUAUCAGGGCUAAUAUUUAGAUUUGAGGAGUCAUACUUCAGAAAAAUUUAUUGGGCAUUGAUAUGGUUUGGCUGUGUUCUCACCCAAAUCUCAUCUUGAAUUAUAGUUCCCAUAAUCCCCACGUGUGAUGGGAGGGACCUGAUGGGAGGUAAUUGAAUCAUGGGGCCAGUUUCUCCCAUGCCAUUCUCAUGAUAAUAAAGUUCUUAGAAGAUCUGAUGGUUUUAUAAGGGGCUUCUCCUUCGCUCCACUCUCAUUCUCUCUCCUGCUGCCAUGUGCAGAAGGACAUGUUUCCUUCCCUUUCUGCCAUGAUUGUAAGUUUCCUGAGGCUCCCCAGCCAUAGGGAACUGUGAGUCAAUUAAAUAUCUGUCCUUUAAAAAUUACUCAGUCUUGGGUAUGUCUUCAUAGCAGUGUGAGAAUGAACUAAUACAAGCAUUGAUCAUGUGUCAAACACUAUAUUAGAUUAUGAUGAUGCAAUAGGGCAUGGUCUCUGAACUUAAAUUGAGAAUACAGAGAAGUUCUCAGUGAAAACUUCAGAGAGGUACAGGGAAGUAGAGCCAGAAGGAAAUAUUAGAUGCCCCUGGGGCUAAUAAUUUGGCUCUUUUUCAAACCAAUAUAUGCUUUUUAAUUUUCUUUAAAUCAAUUUUUUUUUUGAGACAGGGUCUCACUUUGUUACCCAGGUUGGAGUGCAGUGGCAUGAACAUGACUCACUGCAGCCUUGGCCUCCCAGGCUCAAGAUAUCCUCCCACCUUAGCCUCCUGAGUAGCUGGAACUACAAGCACACACACCACACCUGACUAAGUUUUCUUUAUUUUUUGUAGAGAUGGUGUCCCAUGAUGUUUCCCAGGCUGGUGUCAAACUCCUGGGCUCAUGUGAUCCUCCUGUUCUGGCCUCCCAAAGUGCUAAGAUUAUAGACAUGAACUACUGUAACCAGCCUAAACCAGUAUUUUAAAAAACAGGUACUCAAUAUUUAUUUACAAAAAAGGGAGAGCUCUGCCUUGCUGUGGGUGGAGCUGGGAGUUCUCACGUGUCAACUUUCAACCACUCUUAUUCUGAGCAAUUUGGCUCAGUUCUCAGAUUUGCAUACCCCCAAUAGUGUUUCUCAAUUGAGGUUUUAUUAGCAUUUUGGGUGGAACAAUUUUUCCUUGUGUGGGACGAUCCCCAUGCAUCAUAAUAUCCCUGUCCACCCCAUGUCAAUACUGCUCCCAGCCAUACUGACAUCAACAAAAAUAGCCACACACAUUUUUGAAUGCCCAAGGUUUGGCUGGGAGGGUGGGAGUGUGAGUGGUUGGAUUGAGAAUGUUUGCUUAGCAUCUCCCUUGGGAGAACUGUCACCCACACCAAUCUGUUUAUCAAGGUAUUUAUUUCUAUCUCAUACAGUAUAUUUGCUGAGAGAAGUUCUGAUAUGUAAAAUAUUAUCUGUUUUAUUACAUUUCCAAUGUCCAAAUGAUGUUGUUUCACUGUCCUCCAUAGAUUCACAGCCAACAUUCCGCUUCCACCUGCCCCUUAUCAUAUACUUCCUGGGACUACUUAGGAGAGCACCCAAUGUAGUCUUUGUAAGUUUUAAAGUCUUCACAGAGGAAGGAACAUCUCAGCAGAUGCUUAAAAGACAAGUAGAAAAUUAGCCAGGCAAAAAGGUACACUCCACGCACACACACAAAACCUAGUUCUGUUUACGGUGAAUGUGGUAACAGAUGAGGCUGGAAUGGUAAGCAGGAACCAGUCCAUGAUGGAACAUAUAAAUUGUGUUAAAUGAUUAGGAUUUUUCUCUUUUUUUUUUUUUAACUGAGAACAAAAGGGAGCUAUUGAUGAGUUUUUGGCAUGUGAAUAACAAGAUCUUAUUUGUGACUUGGAAACAUUUCACUAGCUGCAGUAUGGAAAAUGAAUUGGAGACAGGUGGCAAGACUAGAGACAUGAUAUGAGAAUAAUCAGGAGACCUUUGCAAUGGUAUAGGUAAGAGAAAAUGGUGGCCUGAAUUAACAUCUGGAGUGCAUAUCAACAUACAGUGAUGGUAGUAUUUGAAAUUGUGGGUUGAGAUUAAUUCUCAUAGGGAAAAUGUAUGGAAUAGGCAGAAAAUGGGUUCCUACAAAACCCCAACAUUUAGGGUGUGAGCAAAGUAAGGGAAUUUAGCAAAAAAGGCCAAAGAGGUGGGACCCAGUGUGAUAUGUGGUAAUGGAAUUGUGUGGCACCUAUUGGAAUGAACAGUCAGGUUUCCCUCCAGGGAGGUACCGGCCGUAUGGGCUGUGAUUAGCUGACAGCCUCCCACCACCAUGCCUUUGGGAUCUAUCACAGCAUUUACACAGAGGUCUCCCUCUCUCUAGAUCCUCCCAGCCAAUGCCUGAGCAUGGCUAUUGCUUUCCAAUGUAGUUUCUUCCGAUGGGCAGUCUUUGCUCUGGGGUCCCCAUUGGCCUAAUUGAGCCUUUCUCAGAGCCGCCACGCAGAUAGACUCUACCCAAUUCUUCCUUCUCCUAUUCCCUUUAUGGUAUUAAGAUGUGGUAUUAAGAUGUGGAUUGCAAUCUGACAUUCUUCCCUCCUACUGCUACUUUUCCUCUUUAUCCUUCACAAGUGUUUUCACAGAUUUCUUGCACUUCAAUUCAAUCUUACUAUCUACUGAAGUAGUACAAAUUGUAUCAAUGAAACAAAAGAGGAAAUUUUAAGGAGAGUGGAUCAACACUGUUAAAUACCAAAGAGAGACUGGGAAAGAGGGGGACAGAAAAGUAUCGUUAGUUGUCAUUAUGGAGAUCAAUGCUAACCUUAACUAUCAAAGUUCGUAUUUUCUCUUCUGCUAUUGUGUCUCCUCUUAGUUAUAUUCUCCCAAAUCCCCUUCAGCCUUUCUCAUACAUCAUGAACUCUAUACAUCUCAUCUGGACCCCUUCGUAUGGACACAUUUAACUUGUUAAUAUCUUUCAGAGUAAACUCUGGCAAAGAAUUGAGCUCAGUAUUCCAAAUGCAGUCUGGUCACUGUUUACUAUGGGGGGAUUGUAACUACCUAUUACUGGAACGCUUUAUUAUAGCCUAAACUUUUAUCCAAUUUUUUUAUAGCCCAACAAACUCAGGGUCACUGUACUGCUCGAUUCUGGGAGAUGCCAUUCAUACUGUUAUCUAUAAUUCUAAAAUCCUCAACCCCUACCUGGCCCCUUGGUCCUGAUGAAGAAAAAUCUCCAAAAAUCAUAUUUGCCCUCCUCUAAGAUCAUCACAAGUGUUCUUGAACCCACACUGUCAUAAAGUGUCAGGGACAAGAAACCUGGUCUCAAGCAUCUCACUGUGAAGUUUCUGCCCUGACAUCAAUCUAACAGGCUAGAUGUUAUCUUCUCAUCCCCAGGCAAAUAUAACACCAACAACAACAAAACCGAGCACCCAGUACCUGUAUGUUAUAUUGCUACCAGGUGAGAUCUUGAAAACACAAAAGAAUUAUCUAGACGAGAAUCUUUCAUCUUCUUGGGAAGCCAAGAUUUUAAAUGAUAUCUUUUCAGACUCAUUCAGUCCUGGAGGGUACAGGCUACAUCAAAAAUAGGCAAUAAAAUCUGGUCCUGUACCGUAUGACAACAUUUCAGUCAACAACAGGCUGCAUAUAUGACAGUGGUCCCAUAAGAUUAUAAUGGAGCUGAAAAAUUCCUAUUGUCUACUGAUAUCAUAGCUGGUGUAAUAUAGUAGUGCAACACAUUACUCACAUAUUUGUAGUGAUGCUGGUGUAAAACCUACUGUGCUGCCAGUCAUGUCAGCAUUCAGUGCAUAUAAUUAUGGGUAGUACAUAAUACUCGAUAAUGAUAAUAUAUGACUGUUAUUGGUUUAUGUAUUUACUAUAUUAUUUAUCCUUAUUUUAGAGUGUAUUCCUCCUACUUAUUUAAAAAAAAAAGUUAACUGUAAAGGAGCCUCAGGCAGGUCCUUCAGGAGGUAUCCAGAAGAAGGCAUUGUUAUCAUAAGAUAUGACAGGUCCAUGUGUGUUAUUGUCCCUAAAGAUUUUCCAGUGGGGUCCGGGCAUGGAGGCAUAUGCCUCUAAUCCCAGCACUUUGGGAGGCUGACGCAGGAGGAUUGCUUGAGCCUAGGCAUUCAAGACCAGGCUGGGCAACAUAGCGAGAUCUUGUCUCAAAAAAGUUUUUUAAAAAACCUUCCAGUGGGACAAGAUGUGAAGAUGGAAGACAGUUAUAUUGAUGAUCCUGACCCUUUAUAAGCCUAGGCCAAUGUACGUGUUUCUGUGUUGGUUUUUAACAAAAGUAUUUUAAAAGUAAAAAAAAAGAAUUGAAAAAAUUAAAAAAUACAAAAAUGCUUGUAGAAUAAGUAUAUAAAGAAAGAAAAGACUGAACAUGGUGGGAUGCAUCUGUAAUCCCAGCUACAUGGGAGGCUGAGGCAGAAGGAUCAUUGGAGUCCACGAGUUCAAGACUAGCCCUAAAAGAAAAUAUUUUUGUACAGCUAUAUCAUGUGUAUGUUUUAAGCCAAGUGUUAUUACGAGUUAACUUUUUUUUUUUUAAUUUAAAAGUAUAUAAAGAGGUAGUGGCUCACUCCCGUAAUCUCUGCAUUUUGGGAAGCUGAGAUAGGAGGACUGCUUGAGCCCAGGAGUUUAAGACCAGCCUGGGCAACACAGGGAGACCCCAUGUCUAUAAAAAAUUUAAAAAAAAUUAACCAGGCCUGGUAGUGCAUGCCUGUGGUCCCAGCUAUUCAGGAAGUUGAGGUGGGAGGAUCACUCAAGUCUAGGAGGUUGAGGCUGCAGUGAGCUGUGAUUGUGCCACUGCACUCCAGCCUGGGUGACAGAGCAAGACCCUGCCUCAAAAAAUAAACAAAUAAAAUUGCAGUAAACUAAGAUUAAUCUAUUAUUGAAAAAAAUUGUGUAAAUUUAGUAUAGCCUAAGUAUACAGUGUUUAUAAAGUCUACAGUAGUAUACAGUAAUGUCCUAGGCCUUCACAUUCACUCACUACUCACUCACUGACUCACCCAGAGCAACUUCCAGUCCUGCAAGCUCUAUUCAUGGGAAGUGUCCUAUAUAAGGGUACCAUUUUUUAAUCUUUCAUAUUGUGUUUUUCACUAUGUCUUUUCCAUGUUGAGAUACACAAAUACUUACCAUUGUGUAACAAUUGCCUACAGUAUUCAAUACAGCAACAGGCAGUACAGUUUUGUGGCUUAGGAGCAUUAGGCUACACCAUAUAGCCUAGAUGUGAGGUAGGCUCUAUCCUCUAGGUUUGUGUAAGUGCACUCUAUGAUUUUCAUACAACAGCGAAAUCACCCAGUGACACAUUUCUCAGAAUGUAUCCCUGUCAUUGAGCGAUGCAUGACUGUACUGAAGAACGCUAAGGAAGUACACGCUGCUAAGGGACAGACCGAGGGAUGGUUGAGAUCAUUUUUUUAAUAAAAUCUUCCUUAUAUUUAUCUGUUAUCCCAUGAUAUAUUAGAGCAUAGUGUUUCCCUGAUUCCAUCUUACAUAACAUCCAGCCUAGAAUUCCCCUCAGAUGCCUCUGGUUAAGAGGUGUUGCCCUGUGUCCUAGUUCCCAAAUACAGAGCGCUGUUGGGCCAGACCGACCUGGCCCAGAACAAAUAUAGUCACAUACAUUGUGUUUGCAGAGUUGCUCACUGCCCCAGAGUCAUAUCCUGCUGGCCUUUUCACUAGAAGCUUUAUUGUACGUUAUUAUUUUCUCCUAGGAGGACUUCACCCCUGCACAACAAAACCUGUAUAAUAGUAAAGCAAAUCUAUUUGUAGAUUUAGAAAGUUCAUCUUUUUUGAAAAAAAUCAUCCACUAAUUUGGUUUAAACCUGGAUUGGAGUUUUUCUUUCUCAAAACAGAUUAAAACUGGAAAUAAAAGCUCAGUUAAGGCCGGGGAUGGUGGCUCACGCCUGUAAUUCCAACACUUUGGGAGGCCAAGGCAGGCAGAUCACAAGGUCGGAGCUCGAGACCAGCCUGACCAACAUUGUGAAACCCCGUCUCUACUAAAAAUACAAAAAUUAGCAGGGUGUGGUGGCGCGUGACUGUAAUCCCAGCUACUCAGGAGGCUGAGGCAGGAGAAUCACUUGAACCUGGGAGGCGGAGGUUGCAGUGAGCCAAGAUCCUGCCAUUGCACUCCAGCCUGAGCUACAGAGCGAGACUCUGCCUCAAAAAAAAAAAAAAAAAAAAAAAAUCAAAACAGCCGGGCACGGUGGCUCACGCCUGUAAUCCCAGCAUAUUGGGAGGCCAAGACGGGCGGAUCACGAGGUCAGGAGAUUGAGACCAUCCUGGCUAACACGGUGAAACCUUGUCUCCGCUAAAAAUACAAAAAGAAAGCUGGACAUGGUGGCGGGCGCCUGUAGUCCCCAGCUACUCGGGAGGCUGACGCAGGAGAAUGGUGUGAACCCAGGAGGCGGAGCUUGCAGGGAGCCGAGAUCGCGCCACUGCACUCCAGCCUAGGCGACAGAGCGAGACUCCGUCUCAAAAACAAACAAACAAACAAAAAACUCAGUUAAGGCUGGGCGCGGUGGCUCACGCCUGUAAUCCCAGCUCUUUGGGAGGCCGAGGCGGGCGGAUCACGAGGUCAGGAGAUCGAGACCACAGUGAAACCCCCUCUCUACUAAAAAUACCAAAAAUUAACCGGGCGCGGUGGCAGGCGCCUGUAGUCCCAGCUACUCAGGAGGCUGAGGCAGGAGAAUGGCGUGAACCCAGGAGGCGGAGGUUGCAGUGAGCCGAGAUUGCGCCACUGCACUCCAGCCUGGGGGGACAGAGCGAGACUCCGUCUCAAAACAAAACAAAACAAAACAAAAAAAAAAACAGUUAAAAUAGUUCGAAUACCAGUUUUCCAUUACUCCUAUUCCCUGCUCACAGUUCAAGGUCAAUGGGAAGAUAACUCUUUUCUCAAACUGACCCAGAUCUCUGCACCGGGAAACAGAUCCGUUUGCUGGGUCUGAGCUAAUGGCAAAGCCUGUCUAAAUCAAGGUAUGCCUCUUCUUCUUCUUCUUCUUUUUUUUUUGAGACGGAGUCUCACUCUGUUGCCAGGCUGAAGUGCUAUGGCUCGAUCUCGGCUCACUGCAACCUCCACCUCCCGGGUUCAAGCGAUUCCUCUGCCUCAGCUGGGACUACAGGCGCGUGCCACAAUGCCUGGCUAAUUUUUUGUAUUUUAGUAGACACAGGGUUUCACCAUGUUGUCCAGGAUGGACUCAAUCUCCUGACGUCGUGAUCCACCUGCCUCGGCCUCCCAAAGUGUUGGGAUUAUAGGCGUGAGCCACCGUGCCCGGCCAAGGCAUGCCUCUUCUUAGUAUUUGAGCCAGACCUUCAGCCUGGGAUCAUAUCGUCUGGGUUACUUACAGAUACUUUAAAAAUAUAUGAAUCUUUUUUUUUUUGAAACAGAGUUUUCUUCUUGUUGCCCGGGCUGGAGUGCAGUGGCGCGAUCUCGGCUCACUGCAACCUCCACCUCCCGGGUCCAAGCAAUUCUCCUACCUCAGCCUCCUAAGUAGCUCGGAUUAUAGGCACGCGCCACCAUGCCCAGCUAAUUUUUUGUAUUUUUAGUAGAGACAGGGUUUCAUCAUGUUGGCCAGGCUGGUUUUGAACUCCCGACCUAAAGUGAUCCACUUUCCUCAGCCUCCCAAAGUGCAGGGAUUACAAGUGUGAGCCACCGUGCCCGGCCAAAAAAAUAUAUCUUUACAUUAGUAGUUAAACAUAAAUUAGUAGUUAAAUUGUAGUAUGACCUCUCUCAGCUAGGCAUUUGAUGCUAUCAGGAUAGUUUUAACAUGUGGUGAUGGAAUAAUUGUUUUCCUUGUAAAAGAAACAAAAGGAAGGAAAUUCAUGAAAGUUUCCCCACCACUUUGUAUUUUAUUUACAAAUGGUUAAACUUGUAAAUGAAAUUUGUGAAUAGCCUCUUUCAAAUUUAAGCGUGGAGCUUCUUAUGGUCAGUCUGUGUCUAUCUCAAUGUCUGGAAAUGUUUGUAUGAAACUGUACUGCCUAAAAGCAUAACACUUUUUCAUUGCUGAUGCCAGUAUUUAGGGUUUAUGUAUCCUCUCACCUAAGGAGAGCAUUAUUCUGUCAUUCCACAUAAACUCAAAACACCUAUCUGCAAAUCUGAGUGCACUCUGUUGUCUGCUAUAUGGUGUGCAAGCUCUUAAUUAGUCUCUCUUGCCCCAGUCUCUUCCUCUUCUUAUGAUAGCACACCUGGCCAAUAAACAUGCUUCCAGAAUGCCAACAAUGGAAAUAUGGAAGUUCCGAGGUGAAGCUAAAUUUGGAAUAAAUGUGAGUUUACAUUUAGACAUGUUGACUUUGAGGAAAUAAGAGGGCAUUCAAGGAGGAGCUAUUACAAGGAUAAUGACAGAUUCUGAAUACGAAGUAUAAGAGGGUAAAUUGAGCCAUACAAAUAGAGACCAUAGAUGGAGUCAUGAGAUUUAUGAAUGGGGUCUGAGGGUGUAGAGCAAUGUGAGCAACCUUCUUUCUUUCUUCUUCUUUUUUUUCUUUUUAAACAAGGGGCUCUUAAAAGUAACAGAGGUGGGUGGACCUUAUUUUUGUAAACAUUGAAAGUGAAAAUAAUGUCACUGAAUUCAAUGACAAAAAUGUGUGCUUUAGGAUGAUUUCAUGAAGUAUGACUAUUCUUCCUCCAGGCAAGUGUUUUCUGGCAUUUCCUUGGUACAUAUCUGGCGUGGGAUUUAAGGGAUGGAUAGUGGAGGUCCAAGUGGAGAACUGAGAGAAGAAGGGGAACCAGAGAAGAGCUGUCAACUUUCAAAAUGUUGGAAGAAGGAAGAAGGGAGAAAAUAAGCAAAAGUUCAGCAAACUGAGUACUUGUGAAAGAGAUUGUGGAUUUAUGUUUGAGGACUAAAGAGAAUAGAAUAGAACUCAAGUGUGGCUUUACAAAAUGAAUGGGUUCCUCUUUGAUGUUUUUUUUUUCAGAGUUGGAAGUAAAGGUUAGAAUACCUUUUUAAAAUUACUGUGUAUCUUGGCUGGGAGUGGUGGCUCAUGCCUGUAAUCCCAGCACUUUGGUAGGCCGAGGCAGGCGAUCACCUGAGGUCAGGAGUUUGAGACCAGCCUGGCCAACGUGGCGAAACCCCGUCUCUACUAAAAAUACAAAAAUUAGCUGGGUGUGGUGGCAUGUGCCUGUAAUCCUAGCUACUUGGGAGGCUGAGGCAGGAGACUUGCUUGAACCUGGGAGGCAGAGGUUGCAGUGAGCCGAGAUUGCACCACUGCACUCCAGUCUGGGCAACAGAGUGAGACUCUGUCUCAAAAAUCAAUCAAUCAAUCAAUCAAUAAAAAUAAAACAAAAUAACUACAUAUCUCUAUAUGUGGCUCUGAGCAGAGUCUCAGGCAUGUGAGACUCCAGGAUUUAUUAGGGCUACAAGAAGAAUGCCAAUGAGAAACUUGGCAAUGCUUCUUUGAACAACUAAAAUGUUAUCUGGUCAUAUCUAAGAUGUCACAACACAGAAGCAGCUUUCUAAUCUUUUAUAACUUAAUUUGCAUGGCUCUUUAGAGUUUAUAAAUGUCUUCACAUUUAUAUCUUAUUUUAUCUUUGGAAUGACUUCCUGAAUUAUUAUCAUCCAUAAUUUAUAAAUGGAGAAAUUGAAGCUUAGAGAAGUAAACUAGAAGCAUAUCAGAGUUUAUAAUUAGUUCCAGUCAAUUUAACAUCUACUGAGCCUUGAUCUGAGUUUCAGGUUGUACUAGAUACUGGGGAUGCAAAAGUUAAUAAAAUGUGCAACCAGUCCUCAACCAUUACACCAUUACUUUCUUUGCUUUUCCCAAAUUCUCUCCCAGAGGUUUGAUAUCCACCCUUCCCUUGGGUUGGGCCGGUUCAUAGUGAGAUACAAUACUGAGCGUCACCUACACAAACACCAGCUUAUAGAAAGUAUUGGCUCCAGGGUACUCUGGAAGUUCCACACCUAUGAUGUAGUUAGCAGAAUUGCAAAAGUGGUUCAUGCCUGUAAUCCCUAUGCUUUCGGAGGCCAAGUCAGGAGGAUCGCUUGAGGCCAGAAGUUUAAGGCUAUAGUGAGCCAUUAGUUGUGCCACUGUACUCCUGAGCGAGACCCUGUAUCUAAAAAUGAAAAAUAAAAACAAUUGCAAAGGUAAAGAAGAUCAGGGAACUCUUAUACAACCACAUUAGAAGGCAAUUCAGCAAAAUCUAAUAAGCUAAAGAUAUCUUUAUCUUACAAUCUAGCAAUUUCACUUCUCCGUGUAGAAACUCUCCCUUAAACAUACAAGGAGAUGGGUAAAUGAAUGUUCAUUGAAGUAUCAUGUAUAACAGAAAAAUAAUUGGAAAUGAUGUAAGUUUCCAUCCACCUGAGAAUGGAUAAGUAAAUUGUUUUGUGAUCACACAGUGAAAUACUACGGAUUAGUUAAAAUGAAUGAACUAGAACUGGAACUAAAAUAUGCAUAAAUCUCAAAAAAUGUAAUACUGAGUGAUAAAGUAGCAGAAAAUACAUAAAGUAUGCUACUGAUUACACUAAGUUUAAACACAUGAAAAUACUAGAUAUUUCUAUGUAUGAUAGGCAUUUUAGAAUAUCCAUGGUAAUAAUAAAAAAGUCAUAUUCAAGAUAGUUGUUAUAUCCUGUUGAGGAAAAAAAGAUUAUCAUAUAGCGUGCAGAAGGCUUUAGCUGAUUCACUUCAAAAAAAAGAAUCUGAAGCAAAUAUUACACAAGUUAAUACUUGACAAAGGUGAGUAGGGAGAAAAAAAGAGGUUGUUAUUACUUUCUGUAUGUUGAUGCUUGAAAUAUUUCAUUUAAAGAUGUAUAUGGCUCCUAGACUUUGGAAUUCUUGGCUUUUGUGAUUUUUUUUAUGUGUGUGUGUGUGCAGGAUUUUCUUUUUUUUCCUCUUCCCAUGUUGAAAUUCCAUCCAUUCUUUGAUAACUAGCUUGUCUCACCAGCUUAUUGAGAAUUUCCAUGAUGGCUUUGUCAGUUCACAGUGUGUUCUCACUUUUUUUUUGGAUUUAUUUAUUUAUUUAUUUAGAGAUAGGGUCCCGUUCUGUCACCCAGGCUGGAGUGCAGUGGUACAAUUAUAGCUCACUGCAGCCUCAAACUCCUGGGCUCAAGUGAUCCUCCUGCCUCAGCUUCUCAAGUAGGCAGACUACAUGCACAUACUACCAUGCCUGGCUAAUUAAAAAUUUUAUUUAUUUAUUUUUUUUAUAGAGGCAGAGUCUUGCUUUGUUGUCCAGGCUGGUCUUGAACUUCUGAGCUCAAGUGAUCCUCCCGCCUUGGCCUCCCAAAGUGCUGAGACUACAGAGAGAGAAUGCUAACGAGCUGUGAAAUGACCAAAGAUCUGGCAGCAGAAGGGAAAAGAAAAAAUAAUGGAAUAUUUUCUGUCUACAAUUGGUUGAAUCUGUGGAUGUGGAAACUGCAGAUACAGAUGGAGAGCCGACUAUACUAGCUUUUUGUUUCAUUUUUCACUUCUGGUGUGUGUGUGUGUGUGUGUGUGUGUGUGUGUGUGUGUGUAUCUGUGUGUGUGUUUUAUUAAUCUCUGUGCCUGCAUGUUAGUUUCUUCCUCUUUAUUUGGAUUUUCACUAACAUUCUUUUCAGCUUCUUCAGUUGGAUACUUGUUGCCAAUAUAUUUUUUUUCAUUCUAAGAAUUAAAUAAAUGGGCCAGGCGUGGUGGCUCAUGCCUGUAAUCCCAGCACUUUGGGAGGCCAAGAUGGGUGGAUCACAAGGUCAGGUGUUUGAGACCAGCUUGGCCAAAGCUGGUGAAACUCCAUCUCUACUAAAAAUACAAAAAUUAGCUGGGCAUGGUGGUGCGCGUCUAUAAUCCCAGCUACUCAGGAAGCUGAGGCAGGAGAAUCACUUGCACCCAAGAAGUGGAGGUUGCAGUGAGCCAAGAUUGCGCCAUUGCACCCCAGCCUGGGCAACACAGCGAGACUCCAUCUGAAAAAAAAAAAAAAGAAUAAAUGAAUGUAUUAAUCACCAAACUGCUCUUCAUCAGAAACUCUUAGCAGUGGUAUGUUGAGGUCUCCCUGCCUACCGUAUAUGUCUCUUAACUCUGCGGGUGCAAUAUUUUGUCAUGGGUCAGUUUAGCAAUAUUGUACUAUUUCCCAAUUUUCUAAGUGUGUUCAUUUCAGAGUUUAUCCUAUUCAUUGUUCUUUCUUUCUUUUAAAAAUUUCUAUGACUGAGCUGGACAUGGUAGCUCACACCUGUAAUCCUAGCACUUUGGGAGGCUGAGGAGAGUGGAUCACCUGAGGUCAGGAGUUCCAAACCAGCCUGGCCAACAUAGUGAAACCCUGUGUCUACUAAAAAUACAAAAAAUUAGCUGGCCAUGGUGGCAGGCGCCUGUAAUCCCGGCUACUAGGGAGGCUGAGGCAGGAGAAUCUCUUGAAUCCAUGAGGCGGAGGUUGCGGUGAGCCAAGAUCAUGCCAUUGCACUCCAGCCUGGGCACCAAGAGUGAAACUCUGUCUCAAAACAAAAAAAAACUUUUCUAUGACUGUAUUUUUAAUUCUCAGGAUUUUAAUUUGUUAUUCUUCAUAAUCAUAGCUAUUUUAUUUCUGACGGUUCGUGCUUCAUAAUUUUUAUGAAUGUUAUUCCUCUGCUUAAUUCCUUUGAAAGUCUUGAACAAAUUCUUUUUAAAGAAGUAAUUUUCAGAUACUCUAGUAUUUUGUUUUUACCUGGUGUGAAUGCUUCUCCAUGUUGUGGUUUCUAUUUUUGGCAGUCUUUCUUAUUUCUCUCCCUCUCUCCUUUUCUCUGUUCCUUCUUCUCUUCCUUCAUUCCUUCCUUCCUGUCCCCCUAGGCUUAACCUUCCUGGUCUCAUAGUUUUGCCGUUACCUACUUUCUGGGCCUCCCAGGCCUAGACCUCGGUUUUAUCCUAUAGUAUUGUAGAUCCAGUUCCUUCUCUAGGGUCAAAUUCCGUCUUUAAGACUAUGCCUGGUUCUUCCAUGUCCCUAGGUAUACAGAUGUUUACAAGCCUGUAGCCCUAGGCAAUUCCUUUCAAGGGGGUAGCCUUAUCCCAGCCCUUGAUUUCAUGUGAGUCUUCUGCCUCACAUGGGUUAUUUAGUUCUUAGUACCCUGUAUGAGUCUUGCCCCUGGAUGCCUCUGUUUGCUGUUGGCAGAAUUGAGCUGGUCUACAUCUUCAGGCUACUUACCAUAUUGUUUCUGUUCCAUUUCUGGGCUAUGGAGAUGUUUUUAAGUGUGAAAAUGCCUUACAUUUUUCCCAUUUUAUAUUAAAUCUAUUAUCACUAUCAUUUUGGAUUGGCGUGGUCCUCAAAGCCCCAUCUUGACUAGAAAUCAACUAGCAUUUGCUUCUCUGCAGUUCGUAAUCUAGCUUCCUCUCUCACCUUUCUCUUGGCAAUUGCCCUCUCUGAAGUCACUGCUGUUGUUUCCGAGUCACUGAAUGAAACCGUUUUUCCUUCAGCCCCCAUUUUCCUUCACUCCUCUGCAGCAUCCAGCAGUGUUGACUGCUCUUCCUUUUACCUCUCUCCUGUUGGCUGUUAGGAUGCUCUGCUGUCCCGGAUCACUACCUCUUCUGAUGCUUCCAGUUUUUAAACUGCUUUCACUUUUUCUUCCCCUUUUGUAACUGUGGAUGUCCCACAAGGCCAAGUCCUUGGUGCUCUGGUUUUACCCUCUAUUUCAGCUAAUUUUGCUUAUUCUCAUCUUUGGUCAUUGCUAAGUCCCUAUCUGUUCACCAGGGCUUCCCCCUCCCCUGAGUUCUAAGCUACAGAUCUGCUUGUGACACGUUCCACUUGAUGCCCUGCUGUUCCAUCAAAUUUCCUCCCCUUUAAUCCUCCCAAAUGCCAUUACAGAUAUCAUUAUUCUUAGAUGGAGUCUUGCUCCGUUGCCCAGGCUGGAGUAUAGUGGUGUGAUCUCGGCUCACUGCAACCUUCACCUCCUGUGUUCAAGUGAUUCUCCUGCUUCAGCCUCCUGAGUAGCUGGGAUUACAGGCAUGCACCACCACACCAGAGUAAUUUUUGUAUUUUUUGUGGAGAUGGGGUUUCACCAUGUUGGCCAGGCUGGUCUCAAACUCCUGACCUCAAGUGAUCCUCCCACCUCAGCCUCCCAAAGUGCUGUGAUUACAGAAGUGAGCCACCAUGCCCAGCCUGUUAUAGAUAUCAUCUUUCCCUUAGUUUCUAAGGCUCAGAAUCAUACCCUUCCUUGAUUCCUCAUAUUUUCUCCAGAGUCAGUUAAUUAUACAUCCUAUCCAUCCUCUUUCCUGUCAUUUCCUCUUUUUGCCAUUGCACGGCUCACACACCUGCUAUGGUCCCUUGUUAUUUCUUCUUUUGGACCAUUUUGGUAUUCUUCCAGAGAAGCAGGACAGUUAAAUGUGGCAAUAUUUGGACUCAUUUGUGUUCAAAAUUUGUGAUAUGGAUUCUUCCCACAUCCCCUGCCCCAAUAACAAAACUUACCUUAUAAAUAUUCACAGCUUUCUUUGCUGCCCUCUCUCUGACACCAAGGAGGAAGAAUUCUCUGAUGAAUGAGCAAAGUUUAAAGACUUUGUGUUUAUGUGUUCUGGGUAAUGGAUUUACUUUAGAAGAGCAAGAAACUGUUCAAAAGAAAAGAAUUUAAUUGAGCUGAAACCUAAAGGAUGAGUAGGGACUCUCAGGACAACCCAGGGAAGGAUGGAGUUGUAUUCCAGAUAGAGGGGUGGUAUGGUUUGGAACUGUGUCCCCACCAAAUCUCAUGUCGAAUUGUAAUCCCCAGUGUUGGCGGUGGAGCCUGGCAGGAAGUGACAAGAUCAUGGGGACGUAUUUCUCAUGAAUGGUUUAGCACUAUCGUGUUGGUGCUGUUCUUAUGAUAGUGAGUUCUUGCAAGAUCUGGUUGUUUCAAAGUACGUGGCACUUCCCCCCUUCGCUCUCUCUCUUGCCGUCACUCUAGUCAUGUGAGAUGUGUGCUUCUCCUUCACCUUCCACCAUGACUGUAAGUUUCCUGAGGCCUCCCCAGAAACCAAGAAGAUGACAGCAUCAUGCUUCCUGUAUAGCACAAAGAACUGCGAGCUAGUUAAACCUCUUUUCUUUUUAAAUUACCCUGUCUCAGGUAUUUAUAGCAAUGUGAGAAUGGACUAAUACAAGGGGGAAGCACAAGCAAAGACAGAAGGAAAAUACAACAGGGUGUCUGUGAGUGUGUGUGCACAUUUGUGUGUGCAUGUGGCGGGGUCUACAAAGAGUCACUGUGAACCAGGGAGUGGGGAGUGCUGAGAAUGGACAGAAAAGAUUCAUGUGCCCAGUUGAGAAAUAUAAUUUGAGGAGUCACAGAAGUAUUGUUAAGUGAGAGUUGAGAUCGCAUGGCCACGUUCGUCGCCAGGUUUCUAACUUUGGAUGGCAUCUUUCACCACGCAGGACUCAAUGGGGAGGAAGCAGGGGUAUGGGUUGAGGAUUCUGAUGAGACUGUCACUACUACUCUUUCUUGCUUCAUUAGUGUUGUUUGUGACACCCAGAAGAGCUGAAGGGGGCAUCUUUGUGGGGAAGGAGUAGAAGGGUAGCCCUCAGAAAGGGGGUUCCUGGGAUAGUCAGAAUGUGUUUACCAGGAAGAGAGGCAGAAUUAAGGGGCUGGCAACAUAGCUGGGAAGUUGACUGCAUGGGUUGUCAUAUCUAAAAGAGAUUUCAAAGAUGGAAACAGGAGCAUGGGCGAAGUUGAGAUCUCAGCCCCCUCAUUUUACUGUUCCCCUACUUGUGAAAUUCAUUUUAGUUCUUCAGGGCCCAUCUGAAAUGCCAGCUUCUCUCUGAAGGUUUUCCUUUAGACCUUGGCUGGAAGAUAUCUCUUUCUCUUUGGAAACUCUAUAACUUGUGGUUUGCAAGUAUUUUAUGGCUUUGUAUUCCCCCUUAUGUGUAAGAUCCUUGAAGAUUGUUUUGCAUAUCUUUGUAUCUCCUCCACCACCUGAGACUCUCUGCUGUGUGUAGGAUCUCUGCUGAAGAAAUCAUAAUGGAACUGAAUCUGUACUUUCACAGGAAAAGUACAUGCUACAGGAUUUAAUAAAUAUGAAUCUUACAUAAGGAAAUAGCUCAAGGAAUUUGAAUAUUUCAAAGCUCUAUCCAUAUAAAGCCUGAAUAAUUCAUGCAAAUAUUUGAAGAAAAGAACAAAAGCUUAUCUAAUAUUUCAGUACACUGCUCUUUAUUUUGGUCCAUAAAAGGAGAUCUUGUGCUUAGUUUUGGUGGUAAACUCAGCUUUAGCAGCUUUGAAAUGCAGAUUAGAUCAAUUACAUCACAAUUAUAUUUGAAAAUUGAAAAACAGCAUUAUCCAAAAGUCAAAUUCCAAAUUUAUGCCUUUUCAAAGGAAGUGUCAUUUGGAAAGAAACUGAUUCACACCAUGAAAUAUGUGGCAUUUCUUUUGGUUUCCAGUCUCUUCUAUAGUAGUAGAAGGCUCAUGUGAUAUGCAGACAUGUGCUUAAUCAAAUUUAGCUUUCCUUUUCAAGUUAAGAAAAUGUAUAUGAAGUAUUUCUGAGAUAAAAAGAGGCACAGUCUUUUUUUUUUUUUUUUUAGCACAAACAUCUCCUAUGCUGCUGCAUUUGUCUUAAUUCCUUAUUUGAAAAUUUGGCUUUGUUUAUGUAAUGUACAAAUUCCUAUUCACUUAAAACAGGACCAGAAUAGCCUGGAACCCUAUAGAGCUAAAUGAUAUUUUAGAGUGCUGAUCCUCAUUUUCUCUUCGGUAAAGAACACAACACGAUUAUUUGUAUUUAUCUUGUCGUACACACACUCAGGAUUACUCACUGAGGAAUGGGGCUCAAGUUUGGUUGCAAGACUUCCAUUUACUAGGCUGUGUGAUGUUGAGCAAGUCACUUAAUCUCUGAGGUAAAAUGAGGGGCCUGUUGCCUAAAAUUCCGUGCUUCUGUAAUUUAAGUAUAAUUGACCCAGAUGUUUGAUGAUUACUUUGAAAAUUGAAAAAAGAUGCUAGUGGCCAUAAGAAAUUUGUACCACUGUGCCCCGAGUAGUGCUUCUGAAAUAGUAACACAGGGAGAAGGUUGGGAGGCCCCUUCUUUGUCAUUUACAUAGGGUUUGUUUGUCUGAAGUAGCAGAUGCCAAGUGUUAGGGGUCCAAAGAUGCUACCAGAAUUAGAGGAGAUGGAGAAAAGGCUAACGGAAUUUUCUUAAUUCGAAAAAAAAAAAAAAGGCCAGGCGCGGUGGCUUACGCCUGUAAUCCCAGCACUCUGGAAGGCUGAGGCGGGAGGAUCACCUGAAGUCAGAAGUUCAAGACCAGCCUGGCCAUGGUGAAACCCCGUCUCUACUAAAAAUGCAUAAAAUUAGCCGGGCAUGGUGGUGCGCGCCUGUAAUCCCAGCUACUGGGGAGGCUGAGGCAGGAGAAUCGCUUGAACCUGGGAGGUGGAGGUUGCAGUGAGCCGAGAUGGCUCCAUUGCACUCCAGCCUCGGCAACAAGAGGGAAACUCCAUCUCAAAAAAAACAAAAAACAACAACAAUAAAAAACCCAAAGCAAAACAGAAAUGAGUUUCUAAUUGUAUUGCAAAUUACUUGCAGGACUGAAAAUGAUUGAACUGUCACACAUUUCUACAUUAAUAAGCACUAUCCAAAAGAAUCAGUUACAACAGAGUAAUUUACCAAGAUUAAUCUUUAAAAAGAAUCUCAUUUUUAAGAGCUCAUUUUCAGGGUUGUAGAUAUAUAUAUAUAUAUAUAUAUAUAUAUAUAUUUUUUUUUUUUUUUAAACGAGGUUUCGCUCUUGUUGUUCAGGCUGGAGUGCAAUGGUGCGAACUCGGCUCACCGCAACCUCUGCUUCCCGGGUUCAAGCGAUUAUCCUGCCUCAGCCUCCGAAGUAGCUGGGAUUACAGGCACACACCACAUUGCCCGGCUAAUUUUGUAUUUUUAGUAGAUGGGGUUUCUCCAUGUUGGUCAGGCUGGUCUCACACUCCCGACCUCAGGUGAUCUGCUCGCCUUGGCCUCCCAAAGUGCCGAGAUUACAGGCUUCAGCCACCGGCGCCUGGCUGGUUAUAGCUUUUUAAAACAAUUUGCUUAUUGUUUCUUAGUUUGUAGAAAGUUUCUCUUGGAGAUUUGUGAAGGAAAUACAUGUGAUCGCUUUUGUGAUGUGUUCAGAUGGAAAGAAAAUCUAACUUUCAUAAGAAAAAUUGUAUCACACUAGAUGCAGGAAAAAAAUAGAUAUUCGAAGAACCACAUACCAGAUGCAGAUGAAAUGUAAUGUAUAAAGACUAUUUUUAUAAUGAUUUUUUAAAUUUAGAUUUUUACAAUAUGGAUUUUAAAAUUUUAUUUCACUUUUAAUUGACUAAUUUUAUACAUUUAUAAGGUACAAUAUGUUGUUUCAAUACAUGUAUACAUUGCAAAAUGAUCAAAUCAGGCUAAUUAACAUAUCUAUCACCUUACAUUCUUAUUAUUUCUUUGUAGUGAGAAUAUCUAAAAUUGAAAUACAGUCCUUUUUAUUGUAACUGAGAGAAACAAGAGCAAUGUAUAUGUGGUAGAAUUUAAAAGUCAUAUGUGUAUAUUUAUAUAUGUACAUCUACGUACAAUUGCCUGUGUACAUAUAAUUAUCUGCUAUAUAUUAUGCAUAUGUAAUACAUAUGCACCUGUGUAAGUUGGAAUUCUUAUCUAUUCUAUAGAAAGAAAAGUUCUACAUUGAAAUAUAGCCAACAUCCAGUUAACUCUGAAAAAAAAUCACAUCAUUGCUUGGCUUUUUCUGUUGUUACUUCCUGUUGGCCUAGUGGCAAUGAUUCAUUAUAAUGCAAUGUAAUUCAAUAUCACAUGGUGAAUUUAAAUGGCUGUAUAGGAAAUCUGUAACACUGUUCUUGCUUAAAAAUGUAAAACUUCAAUAGAAGGCGGUUCAUCAGAGAAUUUGGUAACACCAAAUAGUAAACGCUUUGAUUUCAGUAAUACUAAGACCCUGAUAGAAUUAAAAUGUGACUGAAUUUUACUUCUUAGUAAUUAUUUUAUAGCUAAUAUGUAAAAAAAAAAAAACCACCCUUUUCAUCAGUUCAUUGUCUUUCUGAAAGUAGGCUGCUUCCAUUAUAUGUACUGAAAUAUAUUUUCCUAAAUGUUAGGCUUAUUUGAUACAAGCACUCAUUUUAUUUUAUUUAUUUAUUUAUUUAUUUAUUUAUUUGAGACAGAGUUUCGCUCUUGUUGCCCAGGCUGUAGUGCAGUGGAGAUCACUGCAACCUCUGCCUCCAGGGUGCAAGUGAUUCUCCUGCCUCAGGCUCCCGAGGAGCUGAGAUUACAGGCGUCCGCAACCAGGCCCGGCUAAUUUUUUGUAUUUUUAGUAGAGAUGGGGUUUCACCAUGUUGGCCAAGCUGGUCUUGAACUCCUGACCUCAGGUGAUCCACCCGCCUUGGCCUCCCAAAGUGCUAGGAUUACAGGCGGCAGCCACCACACCUGGCCUGCACUCAUUUUAAAGUUGGAAAAACAGAGGCCCCAGUGAUUAGCUUUAGGACGGAAACCAGUAAAUAGAAAUAAAAACACACAAAAAUAUAUACAUAUAUAUACCUACACACAUCUAUACCUACAAAUGUUUAUAUAUGUAUAUACACACAUAUACACACACCUGUAUAAUAUACACAUAUUAUAUAUAUUAUUUAUUUAUUUAAGUUUUUAUUCUUUGUUUUUUUGAGACAGAGUCUCACUUUGUUGCCCAGGCUGGAGUGCCAUGGCGUGACCAUAGCUCAAUGCAGCCUCGACCUCCCAAACACAAGCAAACCUGCCUCAGCCUCUCAAGUAGUUGCGACUACAGGCAUGCACCACCACACCUGGCUAAUUUUUGUUUUAUUCUUUGUACACAUGGGGAUCUUGAUAUGUUACCUAGGUUGGUCUUGAACUCCUGGCCUCAAGUGACUUUCCCACCUCAGUAUCCCAAAGUGCUGAGAUUACAGGUGUGAGCCACUGUGCCCAGCCAAAACCAAACAUUUUUGAGUUAAAAGCCCCUAAUAAGGAUGGCAGAAUUAGAUAAACAAAUAGGUUCAAUAAAGAAGAUCUUGACAAAGUUUUAAUCUACUAAUUUAACGAUAAUGGAAAUUAGUGGAAUUCGAGAGUGAAGAAAUUUCUGCAUUUAUAAAAGAAUGAAUAGAAUUUUGGCAGAGAAGCCACUUUGUUUUUGAAACGAGUUAAGAAUCAAGGAAUAAAUUAGGAUGAUGGCAAUUACCUGGUUAAUGAUAUCCAAUAUAUGUAAAUUAUCUUUGCUGUGGGUAGGAAAUUUGUUUAUUUUCCAUGAGCACUUCAAGAACCCCAUUAACAAAUUGAGUUACAUCUUUUGACUCAACUUUCAUUAUCUGAAUAGUCCUGCUGGGACAGGUAAUAUUCUCCAUUUGGGGCUACAAAUGUUUGCAUUAGAAAUCAAUCUAUUUGUAAAUGUUGUAUUCAAUUUUACAUGAUCUUGAUCUUAUUUUGUUUAAAUUUGUUGUUUUUUUCAAUGACAAGUUGAUGCUUCCAUAAUACAUUUAAAAACAUAACAUACAAUCCUGUAGUUCUGACUGAACUUUCGUCAGGUUUCAGCACUGUAAACCAAGAAACAUCAACAGAUGAAAAGUUCUCCUCCCAAAAGGGUUAAAAGUCUCCGGGGUUUCUAACUAGAUUGACUUCAGUAUAUUCUAGACAUUCUUUUGCUGUUGCUUGGCUCAUUUCCUUCUUGAUAAGAUUCUAUUUUCCUUCCUCUUCCUCUUCUCUCUGUUACUUAAUAUAGCUCCAAAAUAUGGUAUAGUCCUCCAAACCAUUGCUUUCAGUGAAUGUGUUUAUUAUGAGAUAACUGAAGAUUCUGGGGGCACGUGUGUUUCUUAUGUUCCUGUUAGUUUGUUGCUUCCCAGUCCACUUCUGAUAUAAUAGAAUUUGGAACCAGAUUUUUUUUUUUUUUUUUUGCUACCAUUCUGACAUUGUAACAGCCUUUUCCAUUCUCUUUGAACCAAGAUUAAGCCACAAUUCAGUCUUAAAACAAUAAAUCAUCAUUUGCUCCACAUUCUUGACCCUUGGCUUAAUAAGGAGAAACCUUAGGAACAAACAAGCCUCUUUUACUCUUUCAAGUAUUAUCACUGUGAUUUGAAUUUGUCCCCCAAAGUUCAUGCAUUGUAAACCUAAUCCGCAACGCAACAGUGUUGAGAGGUUGGAUCUUUAAGAGGUGAUUAGGUUGUGAGGGCUCUGCCCUCAUGCAUGGAUUAAUGCCAUUGUCUCCAGAGUGGGUCACUGAUUGUGGGAGUGGGUCCUGAUAAAAUGAUGAGUUCAGCCUCUGAUGAGUUCAGCCUCCUUCCCCAGUCUCUCUUGCUCUCUCCCUCCCUCACCUUCCUGCCUUCCACCAUGGAAUAACACAGCAAGAAGGCUGUUUCCAGAUGCUGGCACUUUGCCCUCAGGCUUCCCAGACUCCAGAACUGUGAGAAAUAAAUUUCUUUUCUUUUUAAAUUACCCAGUCUAUGGUAUUGUUAUAGCAACACAAAAUGGACUAAGAUGGUAACUUUGGCAUCUCCAGAGUGUAGUGAAAUAAGGACAAUUCCAAUUCCCUUUUUUUUUCUGUGACCCAUUCCCUCACCUGGCAAUGAAGGAUCUUUGCUGCUUGAUUGACAUGUGCAAAUGGUUAGCUGAACCCCUUGAUUCCAUAUGUCUCCCUCAAAAUCACUUUACAUCCUAAGGCCAGGAUUUGGCCCCUCUCCCUAGGGCCACUGAAGUUUUAGCUAAUUCCAUUUGUAUUAAAAUACUGGUUAAGAGCUAUAAUGGAGGGUGAUUGACUCUGAAUCUUGACAAAUUUAGAAUCUUUUCCGGCUAUUCAAUCAGGCUUUGCCAACCUUCAUUUCCUUUAUUUUUCAAAUGAAGAAAAUGAAGCAGGUAAUUAAGGAUAAAUUUCUUGUGUGAGACAACAUGGGGAGCCUGUGGCACUUCCAGAAUUAGGCCAGGAAUCCCUCUGCCAGGGAAUUCAGUAGAAAUCUCUGCCAAGUUAUCUCUUUGAUGUCUAUCUCCACAAUUCUUAUUUGCUUUGAAAACUACUGCCUCCUACCUUCGUUUCAGAUGUGGAAAUUGAAGCUGUAAUAAAUGUUAAGUAUCCUAAAAGCAGGACUCACAUAGCAAAUUCAAGGCACAACAAGGAUUCUCAAUCGUUGUGUGUUUGUGCUUUUUUCUAACAAUUCCUGCCUACUGCCUUCCUGUGUUAAGAUAGGGAGAAGAGGAUUGUGGCAGAUUCUGGUGUUUUAGUGCCAUAUGCUCUCUUCAUAUGAAUGCUAUUAAUCAUCUGAUUACAGUAAAUUGAUUUAAGUGCUGGUGAGAUCAACAUCUCCUGAAAUUUAUUAAUCUAUUUAUUGAACACCUACUGCAUACAAUGUAGUACAUUAGGUUCUUUUGGGGGAAAAUGAAAAACAAAAAACAAAAAACAAAAAGCAUAUGCUCCUGACAGAGUAUCUUAUACUAUAGUUAGGAAACCACAUCUACAUAAAAUGAUAUUAGAAAACAGCAUAUGAAAACAUAUUUCCUUCAUCCCAUAGUAAGAUGAAACUGUUUUUCCUUUUUAGUGGUUUUGCCUUUUCCACAGCAUUCCCAUUAUAGCCAAAGCCUCUUUUUUUUUUUUUUUUUUUUGAUACAGAGUGCCACUCUGUCGCAAUCUCAGCUCACUGCAACCUCCGCCUCCCAAGUUCAAAUGAUUCUCCUGCCCCAGCCUCCCAAGUAGCUGGGACUACAGGCGCCUGCCACCAUGCCUGGCUAAUUUUUUUGUAUUUUUAGUGGAGACGGGGUUUCAACAUGUUGGCCAGGCUGGUCUUGAACUCCUGACCUCAAAUGAUCCACCCACCUCGGCCUCCCAAAGUGCUGGGAUUAAAGGCGUGAGCCACUGCACCCAGCCAAAGCCGCUCUUAAUAUGACCCCUUAGAAUGAGAUCUAUUUUGCUCGCAAAGUGGGAUCAAACCAGAAUCCGUUUCUUCCACAUUUUCUUGACAUGCUUUGCAUUUCAUUUAGCAAUUUCUUUGAGUUUCUCUUCCAUGUUACAUUUCUUCUUGACAUAGAAACUAGAUUUUCAAUGGUAGACAUUACUAGCCAUUUUGAGCCAGACUUGACUAUGUGGUUGGUUGGAUUCCCACUGACAAGUAUCAUGGUGGGCACUCCGACACACCAUUUCUCUAGCUGCUUCCAUGUGAGUGCCUCCAGGCAGCCAGAGAUUAUUUUCUCUUCCCUUGCCUGCAUCUGUUUACUCCUCCCCAUUGGAUAGGGCCAGCUUGGGUGACAACAUUCCACUGGACUGUAGCACAGUGCACGAUCUAUCAGCUCAAUUGGGAUUCUGCCUUUGGGGAAGUGCUUCCUUUCAGGGACUAGAGAGGUAAGAGAAACUAGUCCUGCCUGGUAGGAGACCUGGCUCCUUCUUCCCCCAAUCCCCUUUGCCUGUUUUUGAUGCUUUGGUUCUGCUCUUUGCUGGGUGAAGGAAGACAGCAGUGUUGGCUGCUUUAGUUUUGGGCUUCCCUACUAUGGCACCAUUUGGGGCAGCAGCCUAGAUGGUGCUGUACUUGGUGGGGGACAACCCCUCACCCCCAAGCAUUUUGCUGCUUCUCUCUGGCUGACGUGUUUCCCUUUUAAUGUGUACUAUAAAAGAAAAGAAGAGGAAGAAAGAGAGAGGAAGGGAGAUGAGGGAGAGUGGGAAGGAGAAAAAAUAUUAAUUUUUGUUCUUAUGUGAAAUUAACGUCUUACUUGCUUUGUGUCUCCUCUUACCCAAGUUGGCUGCAGUGAUGCCCUCUCUGACACAGUAGGUCAGAGACCCUGAGGUUCGUUCGUUCUUUCUUUCUUUCUUUCUUUCUUUCUCUCUCUCUCUUUCUCUCUUUCUCUCUCUCUCUCUCUUUCUCUCUCUCUCUCUCUUUCUCGCUUUCUCUCUUUCUCUCUUUCUCUCUUUCUCUCUCUCUCUCUCUCUCUUUCUUUCUUUCUUUCUUUGAUGGAGUCUCACUUUGUUGCCCAGGCUGGAGUGCAGUGGCACAGUCUCAGCUCACUGCAACCUCCGCCUACCGGGUUCAAGUGAUUCUCCUGCCUCCGCCUCCUGAGUAGCUGAGAUUACAGGCACACACCACCACGCCCAGCUAAUUUUUGUAUUUUUAGUAGAGAUGGGGUUUCACCAUGUUGGCCAGGUUGGUCUCGAACUCCUGACCUCAAGUGAUCCACCUGCCUCGGCCUCCCAAAGUGCUGGGAUUACAGGAGUAAGCCACCAUGCCCGGCCCUUCAUCCUAUUUUGAUGUCAGAGACCACGUAUGGAUAUAGUGCUGGAUGCUUUAUUUACCAACUUGAGCCUUUAAUUUUGCCUCUGAAAUGAAUUAUUUAUUAGCAAAUACAUUAACAUAACAUUUUUCAUUUGGAGGCAUGCUAAACUGUUGACCUUUUUCGUAAAGAUUCUAAGGGGGCUUGAAAAGGAAAAACCUAGAAAUUUAUAAAUACUGAAUAGAGUGUCCAUCCUUCUUCACUUUGUUUCCUAGUAGCGCUUUCAUCCUGUCACAAAUUGGUUCAGCAGCAGAGGAGUUAAUAUGCACAAGCACUUUUCUUUGUCAUAGGACGACAUUCCAUUUGAGUCCUUUAAGGAUGUGCUGGAAAGGGAGUGGGGAAGUUACACCGCAAAUAUUAUCUUCCCCAGAUGCAAACAAGUUUCUUUACUAGUAGAACUGGAAAAUAUGUGCCACUUGCUAAUUUUUUACUUCUAAACUUUUGUUAGGCUGUUAAAUUUGGUGAAUAAUACCAUGAAUUAUUAUUAUAAAGAUUAGCACAUCUAUUUACAAUAGAAUAUUUCAAACAGACAGAAAAGCAUACAAAAUAAUAUGACAAAAAAUCAUCUAUCUACAAUCCAGCCCUAAGUGCUAGAUAGUAUUUCAUGUAAUAAAAUUUUGCCAUAUUUGCUUCAGAUCUCCCUUUUUCCCUCCCUCCCCCUUUUGCCCUCUUCCUCCCUCCCUUUUUUCCCCUUUCCUCUGUUUCUUCCAAGUUAAAACCUUUUUUUCCUCAACAAGCCACCAGAAGUGCUGACAAAGUUAAAAUCAUAUAGAUGUAGUUAAAACCCCUGAAACCAAUCUAUCUCAUUCCUCUCUUGUGAUCUGCAGGGUGACAACUACCCUGAAUUUAGAGUUUUAAUUCCUCUGUGUAUUUUUAUAUUAUUUAAAAUUUUUUUUAAUAAGAGCUGGAGUCUUCCUGUGUUGCCCAGGGUGAAGGGCAGUGCCUAUUCACAGGUGCAAUCCACUAUGAUCAGCACAGGAGUUUUGACCUGCUCUGCUUCCCACACAGGUGGGUUCACCUUUCCUUAGGCAACCAGGUAGCCCUCUGCUCCUGGGAGGUCACUAUAUGAUGCCCAGAACUAGUGGGCUCAAGCAAUCCUCCCGCCUCAGCCUCCCAAGUAGCUGGGUCUAUAGGCACACACCACCACACCCAGCUAUUUUUUAUAUUUAUACUAUAUAUGUAUCCAUAAGACAUAAAGUUGAUUUGCAAGUUUUUCAUCAUUAAAUGAUAUAUUAUGCGCUUUCUUCUUAAUCUCUCACUCAACAUGUAUUAAUACUCAUCUUUUUUUUUUUUUUCUAAACAGUCUCACUCUGUUCACCAGGCUGGAGUGCAAUGGUGUGAUCAUGACUCACUGAAGCCUUGACCUCCUGGGCUGAAGCAAUCUUCCUGCCUCAGCCCUGCAAGUAGCUGGGCCUACGGGCACACGCCGCCAUGCCUAGCUAAUUUUUGUAUUUUUUGUAGAAACAGGGUUUCACAUGUUGCCCAGACUAGUCAUGACCUCCUUAGCUCAAGUGAGCCACCUGUCUCAGCCUCCCAAAGUGCUGGGAUUUCAGGUGUGAGCCACCAUGGUUGGCCCCUAAUACACAUCUUUUUUUUUUUUUUCUUUUUUUUUUGAGAUGGAUUCUCACUCUGUCUCUCAGGCUGGAGUGCAGUGGCACGAUCUUGGCUCACUGCAGCCUCUGCCUCCCAGGUUGAAGCGAUUCUCCUGCCUCAGCCUCCCGAGUAGCUGGAUUACAGGCGCUUGCCACCACGCUCUGCUAAUUUUUGUAUUUUUAGUAAAGAUGGGUUUUGCCAUGUUGGCCAGGCUGGUCUUGAACUUCUGGUCUCAAGUGAUCCGCCCUCCUCAGCCUCCCAAAGUGCUGGGAUUACAGGUGUGAGCCACUGCGUCAGGCCAAUACACAUCUUCUAGUUUAUUUAAAGUGCUAGAUAGUAUUUCAUUGUAUAAAAAGACCACAGUUUAUUCAUUCUUUUGUUGAUAGAUCUUUAAAUUGUUUCCAUUAUUUUUCCCUUACAAACAAUGCAUGAUAAAUGUUUUUGUAUGUGUCUCCUUGUGAGAGUUAUAUAUCUAGGUGUGACAUCACUGGGUUCUAUCACAAGUCUUUGGAAGUAAUUUUUAUGUGGAUAGUGCAACAAUAUGACUAGUUACUUAAAAGAAAAAAAUUAAGUCAAGAUAAGUGGCGGAAGACACAGAAAUUCAGAAAUAGGAUGUAAAAUAGUAAUGGAAUAGUAGGUAAAUUAGAUACAUAAUCCUAUGCCUUUUUUUUUCUUUUUGAGACGGAGUCUCGCACUGUCGCCAAGGCUGGAGUGCAGUGGCGCCAUCUCGGCUCACUGCAAGCUCUGCCUCCGGGGUUCACACCAUUCUCCUGCCUCAGCCUCCCGAAUAGCUGGGACUGUAGGCGCCCGCCACAUGCCCGGCUAAUUUUUUGUAUUUUUACUAGAGGCAGGGUUUCACGGUGUUAGCCAGGAUGGUUUCAAUGUCCUGACCUUGUCAUCCGUCCGCCUCAGCCUCGCAAAAUGCUGGUAUUACAGGCAUGAGCCACUCCGCCUGGCGACAAUCCUAUGCUUUUUUAAAAAGGUAGUUCAUCUUUUGGCUGGGCAUGGUGGCUCAUGUCUGUAAUCCCAGCACUUUGGGAGGCUGAGGCAGGAGGAUCACUUGAGGUCAAGAGUUUGAGACCAGCCUGACCAACAUGGUGAAACCCUGUCUCUACUAAAGGUACAAAAAUUAGCUGGGUGUGGUGGUGCACACCUGUAAUCCCAGCCACUUGGGAGACUGAGGCAGGAGAAUCACGUGAACAUGGGAGGCGGAGGUUGCGGUGAGCUGAGAUCACGCCAUUGUACGCCAGCUUGGGCAACAGAGCAAGACUCCAGCUCAAAAAAAAAAAAAAAAGGGAAACAUUAAUGAAAAGGUAAUUCAUCUUUUGAAAAAAAAAGUAGAGUGAACAUACUGAACAUCACAGAUUUUCAUCUACAUUUAAGAUGCUAGCUUUAGGCUGGGCGAGGUGGCUCAUGCCUGUAAUCCCAGCACUUUGGGAGGCCAAGGUGGGUGGAUCACCUGAGAUCAGGAAUUCGAGACCAGCUUGACCAAUAUGGUAAAACCCUAUCUCUACUAAAAAUACAAAAAUUAGCUGGCAUGGUGGCGUGCACCUGUAGUCCCAGCUACUUAGGAGGCUGAGACAGGAGAAUUGUUUGAACCUGGGAGGCGGAGGUUGCAGUGAGCUGAGAUUGGGUCACUGCACUCCAGCCUGGGCAAGAGAGUGAAACGCUGCCUCACAAAAAAAAAAAAAAAAAAAAAAAAAGAUGCUACCUUUAGUGUCACUGCUUCUGUGAAGCCUUCCAAAAAUUGCCUUUUUUUCAAUUACUUUCUCCUUUUGACCUCCAUUCUCUCUACCUCUGUUAUAUGAUAUUGUGCAUUAUAUUUGCUGUGGUUUGUUUAUAUCUCUCUCAGCAGGCUGAAUGUGUUUUGAAGGUGGAGUUCAUGUCUUAUUCGUAUCCCCAGGGUGUGGUGUGCAGUUGGUGGUUAAGUCUGAGGAAUGAAUGAAUGGCCCAAAUCACCGAAGAUCUUUCAGAGGUGGCAGUGGGGUUUCUUUUUUUCUUUUCGAGAUGGAGUCUUACUCUGUCAUCCAGGCUGGAGUGCAGUGGCACAAUCUCAGCUCACCGCAACCUCUGCCACCCAGGUUCAAGUGAUUCUCCUGCCUCAGCCUCCCGAGUAGCUGGGAUUGCAGGCACGCACCACCACGUCUGGCUAAUUUUUUUAUUUUUGGUAGAGAUGGGGUUUCACCAUGUUGGCCAGGCUAGUCUUGAACUCCUGACCUCAAGUGAACUACCUGCCUCAGCCUCCCAAAGUGCUGGGAUUACAGGCGUGAGCCACUGUGCCCACUGGCAGUGGGUUUCUGAUGAUAGGAUAGUUUCAUGAAAGUUAGCUUAAAGUACAAAAAACUUUUUUUUUUUCUUUUUUUGAGACAGUCUCAUGCUCUGUCCUCCAGGCUGGAGUUCAGUGAUCUUGGCUUACUGCAACCUCUGCCUCCUGGGUUCACGCCAUUCUCCUGCCUCAGCCUCCUGAGUGGCUGGGACUACAGGUGUGCACCACCACGCCUGGCUAAUUUUUUGUAUUUUUAGUAGAGACAGGGUUUCACCAUGUUAGCCAGGAUGGCCUCGAUCUCCUGACCUCGUGAUCUGCCCGCCUCGGCCUCCCAAAGUGCUGGGAUUACAGGCAUGAGCCACCGUGCCCAGUGAAAAAGCUUUGAUCCUUUGUCUUCAAUUGCACCUAUGAAAAGGAAGUUUCGUAUAAAAGCUGAUAUAAAUGGCUAAUAAAGCAGAGAAAUAGCUUAAAAUUUGACUGUAGACAUUUGCUAUGUAUGAUUAAUAUGUAUCAGUUUACAGUUAAUUUUAGGAAAACUUAAAUUUUAUAAAUUGCCAAGAAAUCACCCAUGAAAAACUAAUUUUCACUUAGCGGUUUAAUUUUUUAACAUUAGGAUUUUUAAGUUUCGCUAGUCUUAUCAUCUGGGACACUGGAAUUUUGUCUUGUUGGAAUUGCUGAUUAAACAAAAUAAUUCUUCAAAAGUGCUUAGCACAAUGUUAGGUAAAUAGUAAGCACUAAGUAAACAUUGGCUUUAUUAUUAUUAGGUGGUCCUAUACUAUGAUUCCUCCUAUUUAUAUCACGUGUGUCUUGCUGCAUAUUUAAGGACGCUCCCAUCUAUAUGUUUGGACUAGUGCAAUAGUAAAGCUGCCAGCUCAGGUGAAGAAAACCAUUUAAAAAUUUAAAGUUAAGCACAUGAUGGAAAAUUCUUGAAUAUGUGGUGAGUUAGGUAUAAAAAAUAUAGGGGGAUUGUAUUGUUGAAUACAAAAAAGCCAUUAGACUAUUUUAAGAAUGCUCUCUUCUGUCAUUAGGGCUUGGUUAUGAAUAGUAUAUCACAUGCAUGAAAGGAGGUGGUGGCUAGUUUCAUUUCCCUAAAACAUGUUUCAAUGGUAAAUUAGAGGCAGCUGUGGUUUACUGACGCAUAAACCCAGUGAGGUCUAUGAUAACUAGUAUAUAUUUACAGUUUGACUCAUGGUGCCUGUCAGGCUUUAAUCAUAGGGGAAGAAGUGAUAGUACUUAGACUUCACUGUUUAAUCUUCCGUUCAUUUGUUUUCCAAGUUUGUUUCAGUCUGUGGGCAGGUUCCCUUUUGAUUGCAACAUGCAGUCCCUAUUUCUGCAGUUUAUCUUCAUUUGCCAUUUUGAGAGGGCUAUGAAAGUCCUAUGAUAAGCUCCUUGUUCUCCAAAUCCAUGCAUAUAAGUCUCAUCGAGUUGGAUGCAUUCUAAAGACAUUUUGAAAUCACAUCAACACUUUCAGAUCAGCAAGUUAUUUCUUAAUAAAUUACUGUCUUAAUGUUAGAUGCUAUUUUAAAAACACGAAAGAGAGCAGUUUCCAAAUAUGUGUUACUACUUCCAGGGAAUUGUAAACUGGAGUGUUUAAUUAAAAGAAGGCCCUAAAUUUUUAUUAUGCUGUCACUGGAUAUUUGAAUAACUAGCUGUAAAUGAGUUCUAGUUGUACAAAAGUGAUUUUCUAAAUCCAGUUGUCCCUAUUUCAAAAUAUAGUUCUAGUUCCUGGGUGAAACUGAAAAUGAAAUGGCCAUGUCUUUAUAACUAAAACAAAUUAGAGGGUUGCAGCAAUAAAAUGAACCCACAGAGGGGAAAAAAACCCUUUGAAUCAGGUUUUUAUUUUCUUCUCCUGAACUGAUUGGGUAAUUUACUCAACUAAUUUUGUCUAGUCAUUAGGAAGUUAAUACUCCAUUCUAUAAUUUCCUUCCACUCAAGUGAGCAAUACUGGUGCAUAUAAUUUGGAUUAAGAACAUUCCUCUACUCUUACAAAUAUUUGGAUAUAUGCCUUGAAUAUGCUUCCUCAUUUAGGCCACAGAAAUUUAUUCAAAGACAAAUCAAUCAAAGAUAAUAACAUUAACUACUAUUUAUUAAGCAUCUCCUUCAUGACAAGACUUUUUCCCAUAUUGAGAUAUAAUUGACAAUUGAAAAUUGUACAUAUUUAAAGUGUACAACAUGAUGAUUUGAUAUGCAUAUAUAUCCAUGCAUAUAUAUCCAUAUCCAUAUCCAUGCAUAUAUAUGGAUAUAUAUGCAUAUAUAUGCAUAUCAAAUCAUGUCGUACACUUUAAAUAUGUACAUAUUUCAAUUAUGCAUAUAUAUGCAUAUAUCCAUAUCAAAUCAUAUAUAUAUAAUAUGCAUAUAUAUCAUAUACAUAUCCAUCACCUCACAUAGUUACCAUUUUCUUUUGUUCUCUCUCUCUUUCUUCCUUCCUUUCUUUCCCUUCUUUUUUAUUUUUUGGUGGUGAGAACACUUAAGAUCCACCCUCUUAGCAAAUUUCAAGUAUAUAAUAUAGUGUUGCUAAUUGUAGUCACAUCGUUGUAGAAUACAUCUCCAGAAUUCAUUCAUUUGGAUAACUGAAACUCUGUAACCCUUUUCCAAUAUCUCCCCAUUCCUCUAUCCCUCCAGCUCAUGGCAACCAACAUUCCACUCUCUGCUGUUCUAAGUUUGACUACUUUAGUUUUUACAUAUAAGUGAAAUCAACACAGUAUUUGUUUUUCUGUGUCUCGCUUAGUUUACUUAGCUUAAUGUUCUUCAGGUUCAUUCAUGUUGUAAAUGACAGGAUUUCCUUUUGUUUUGAAGGCUGCAUAAUAUUCUGUUGUAUAUGUAUACCAUAUUUUCUUCAUCCAUUCAUCUGUUGAUGGACAUUUAGGUUGUUUUCAUAUCUUGGCUAUCAUGAAUAAUGCUGCAAUGAACGUAAGAGUAGAGAUAUCUCUUAGAAAUCCUGAUUUUCCUUUUUUUUUUCAGACAGUCUUGUCACCCAGGCUGAAGUGCAGUGGCAUGAUCUCGGCUCACUGCAACCUCCGCUUCUUGGGUUCAAGUGAUUCUCCUGCCUCAACCUCUGGAGUAACUGGGAUUAUAGGCAUAUGUCACCAUGCCCGGCUAAUUUUCUUAUUUUUAAUAGAGAUGGGGUUUCAUCAUGUUGGCCAGGCUGGUCUGGAACUCCUGACCUCAGGUGAUCUGCCCGCCUCGGCCUCCCACAGUGCUGGGAUUACAGGUGUGAGCCACCGUGCCUGGCCUAUUUGAUCAUCUUUUACAGCUUAGGGAAUUAAGGUUUAGAUGUGGCACAGGACAGAAACAUACUUUGAAGAUAGGUCUGUUUGACUUCAAAACCUGUGCUCUUUGCCAGGUGCAGUGGCUCACGCCUGUAAUCACAGCACUUUGCAAGGCCAAGGCAGGAGGAUCACUUGAGGUCAGGAGUUUGAGACCAGCCUGGCCAAUAUGGCAAAACCCUGUUUCUAUUAAAAAUGCAAAUAUUAGCCAGUCAUGGUGGUGUGCUCCUGUAAUCCCAGCUACUUGGGAGGCUGAGGCACGAGAAUCACCUGAAUCCCGGAGGUGGAGGUUGCAGUGAGCUGAGAUCGUGCCACUGCACUCCAGCCUGGGUGACAGAGUGAUAGUCUAUCUCAAAAAAAAAAAAAAAAACAAAAAACAAAAAACCCCCACAAAACCCACAAAACCAAACCAAAAAACCUGUGCUCCUUACUGUGCUCUCCUGCCUCUCAGUGCGAGAUAAACAGAGUGGGCAAAAUAGCCUAUGAUGUCAUCAUCCGCAAGGCCUGUUGCUACUGUGUGAUGCCUGCUCCCUAGAUGACCUCCUGGGGGGGUGAAGCGAGAGGAAAUCUGGCACCAAGCUGGUUGAGGGGCAGAGCGAGAAUGUCUGGGCUUCCCCCACCCAGCUUGGAAUGUGAGUGAUGCAAAUCAUCUCAUCGAAGGCUCAACUGCAGCCAGGAGACUCCUCCAGUGAUGAUGAGAGUGUACAAAUGAAGUGCAGGAGCGGGGGAGCCUUCACACACCUCCAGCCCUUCCUGCUUCUUGAAAUACUCAUAUCCUCUGGCAGAGACUAGCUACAGAAAUCCAUGUCCACUUACUCACAGCCUGAAAGAAACCCACACAGUGGACCAGGAAGGUUGUUGCAUGGUAAUUAGAGCUACUAUUGAAUUUCUAUUGUGCAUCUUCUCAAUUAGGCACAAUUACCACAUAUAAGAAAUGAGGAAAUUAAGACUCAGAGGAAUUAGGUGAAUUGCCCAAGGUUAUUACAUAGCUUAUACCUGGCCAACCAGGGUUUAAACAUUGUUCUAUAUCCUAAUCCAAGACCCAUGUUCCUCUCACUACUCAGGUUUAUUUCUUUCGCACAGGGAUAUUACAAAGUCAUUAUAUUUCCUGAUUAUAUUUUUGCUGCUGCUGUAUGACCAUCUCGUUUCUUGUCACUGACUUUAUCCAAAAGCAAGAACAUGGUAUGGAAUUUUGGGGGAAGCAGUUGAAAUGAAGUGUUGGAAUUUCAGAGCUUGCAUUACUGGAUUAUGUGUGGAUUGUUGUUUGUACUGCCUCUUUCUUCCUCCUGCUACCUCAUAUAGGUGCUUGAUAUCUGAUUAUUACAGUCUUUUUAGGGGUUCUUGAACAUACUCACUUGUAGAAAAGUGCUGGUUAAAAUCAUAACAGGCAGACAUUUGGGUUCUUAUAGCCUUGCAAUAAAUGGAAGGAAGUAACUUUUGGGCUUAUGAAAAUGUAUACUGCAAGGUUUUUCUUUCUUUCUUUCUUUCUUUCUUUCUUUCUUUCUUUCUUUCUUUCUUUCUUUCUUUUUCUUCCUUCCUUCCUUCUUCCUUCCUUCCUUUCUUCCUUUCUUCCUUCCUUCCUUCCUUUCUUCCUUUCUUCCCUUCUUUCUUUCUUUCUUGAGACAGGGUCUCGCUCCAUCACCCAGGCUGGAGUGCUCACUGCAAGGAUCCUCCUGCCUCAGCCUCCCAAGUAGCUAGGACUACAGGCAUAGCCACCAUGCCUGGCUAACUUUUCUUAUUUUUUGUUUUAUGUAGAGACAGUAUCUUGCUGUGUUGCCUAGGCUGGUCUCAAACUCCUGGCUUCAAGGGAUGCCCCCACCUUGGUCUUCCAAAAUUCUGAGAUUAUAGGCACGACCCACCAUGCCCAGUGGUUUUCUUAAAGUUCUCUGCAAGGUGUAGAUAGUUUCAUGAGUAAGAUGAUUAGUCAGUACAGUAGCAACAUUAGGUAAUUGGUUUUGCCAUUUCGAGCUUGUAGCAAAUUAUCCAUUCUUAUAUGACAAAGCCUAUGGGACAACUGGAGGACUUGAACUGUUUCUCUUCAGUGCCCGUAAAGAAGGGACUGAAGCUUCAUAAAUCUAGUCCUUCACUCUCCUAGCUCUGAUCCUGUCCUUUCUGUAAGUAAUGAUCAUAUUGCCUUCAGUAGGUGUUUGUCAAGUCUGUAUUUUGUUUUAGAGACAGGAGCUCGCUUUGCUGCCCAGGCUGGACUCGAACUCCUGGGCUCACUUUAUCCUCCUGCCUCAGCCUCUCUGAGUAGCUGGGACUACAAGCACUGCCAUGGAGACCAAUUUGUCAAGCAUUUUAAUACCAUCUCAUCACUGUAAUGAUCAACACAUGUGAUCUAAAAAUCUUUUACAUGGCAGUGGAAAGGGCUUGAGCCAUCUCCGUAUUAAAACCCAGGUGGUAUCCUCAUCCUUUAAUCUUGAAAUGUUGAAAGAGUUGAUUAGCUGUCCUUGCUAGCUAUCUCUAGGAAGGAUAGCUAAUAACUGUUUUGCUUUUGCUUUUGUGUGUGUGUGUGUAUAUAUAUUUAUAUGUAUAUAUGUGUGUAUAUAUAUACAAAAGCAAAAGCAAGACAGUAUUUGAAAUUUGAAGACAUUGAUUCUCAUAACCAGUCUAUUUCAGGAUUAAAUCACAUAACCACCAAUCUCUGCCAACCCACUUUCCAGUAACCACCCCACCUCCAAUUUCCUGUAAAUAGCAAACACUCUGUAGUAUUUCAUCUACAGGGAGCACUGUUGAGUAGCUGGAGUAGUAACAGUAUUUGCUUAUUUUUUUACUUGAGAAGGCUUUUUGUUUGUUUUGAGAUUGGUGUGUGUUGGGGGGGUCUCACUAUGUUGCCCAAGCUGGAUUUGAACCUCUGAGCUCAAACCUCCUGCCUCAGCCUCUUGAGUAACUGGGACUACAGAUGCGUCACCACGUCUGGCUACUUGAGAAGUUUUACAAUUUUUAUGUUUUAAAAGCAGGAAAAGAAAAAAAUCUAGGACUUGUCUCUGUCAUAACAUCAUCCAUAAAAAGUGAUUUUAAGAUGAAGAUUUCUCCUAGAGAGAUACAAGCUGGUGGAUCUAGCAUUCAGCUCUCACUUUCAUUCAAUAUAGUUGUCAUUUUAGACCCAAGCUUUCCCUAGAGAUAGUGAUUCCACCAGGGGAAGCAAUAUGUGAAGUUAUUGCAAGAAACUUUUUGUGUGAAAUUGUGACUGCUGCCAGAGAUGUCAUAUGUUUUAGUUAACUUUCUUCCCAGGAACCAAGAAAAUUUCCCAAGCCCCAGAUAAAUACAGCUGGAAUGCUAUUCAGAAGUCAGUAGCAUGGGGCUGAAGAGAGAGACUGAAUUUUACACACUCCAUUUGUUUCUGGUUGAGAUAAACCCUCUGUUCUAUUUUGCUUACGGUAAAAAUCCAAUUCACUUUGAAAGUUGUAAAGCCCAAAGAACUCAAACAAAUUUACAAGAAACAAACAACCCCAUCAACAAGUGGCCGAAGGAUAUGAACAGACACGUCUCAGAAGAAGGCAUUUAUGGAGCCAACAGACACAUGAAAAAAUGCUCAUCAUCACUGGCCAUCAGAGAAAUGCAAAUCAAAACCACAAUGAGAUACCAUCUCACACCAGUUAGAAUGGCGAUCAUUAAUAAGUCAGGAAACAAUAGGUGCUGGAGAGGAUGUGGAGAAAUAGGAACACUUUUACACUGUUGGUGGGACUGUAAACUAGUUCGACCAUUGUGGAAGACAGUGUGGCGAUUCCUCAGGGAUCUAGAACUAGAAAUUCCAUUUGACCCAGCCAUCCCAUUACUGGGUAUAUACCCAAAUGACUAUAAAUCAUGCUGCUAUAAAGACACAUGCACACUCAUGUUUAUUGCAGCACUACUCACAAUAGCAAAGACUUGGAACCAACCCAAAUGUCCAUCAAUGAUAGACUGGAUUAAGAAAAUGUGGCACAUAUACACCAUGGAAUACUAUGCAGCCAUAAAAAAGGAUGAGUUAAUGUCGUUUAUAGGGACACGGAUGAAGUUGGAAACCAUCAUUCUCAGCAAACUAUCGCAAGGACAAACAACCAAACACCGUGUGUUCUCACUCAUAGGUGGGAAUUGAACAAUGAGAACACUUGGGCACAGGAAGGGAAACAUCACACACCGGGGCCUGUUGUGGGGUGGGGGGA
rnacentral:lncRNA from 1 species